rnacentral:lncRNA from 1 species
AUCCUCCACCAGAUCCUCGGCCAGGCCAAGAAGCUUCCAAGCUUGAUCCUCCUCUUAAUAUUUAUUGGAGCUGGAGGUCCUGGAGCAGCACUGUAUGUCUUGCAUCUGGCACUGUUCGAUCAGAUGUUAGUAGGGGCAGAAAGAAUAACCCAAAAACCCUGAGACAAACUGGGUGCCAAUGAUCAGUACAAGUUCAACUCGGUGAAUGUGGAUUACAGCAAACUGAAGCAAGAAGGCCCAGAUUUC